AAUUAAGAAAAGGAAAUCCGCGUAAAUUAGGUUUAUUCUCUUCGUCAAAUUGCGGGAGAUUUUCCGCGUAAAAAUUAAUAAAAAUCACCAUUGUUGUGCCAUUUUUCUCUCUCUACUUUCACCAUUCCAGAAAAGAAGGUUUUUAUAGAGAGAAAGAAGCGAAGUAGGCGAAGGCUUUCAAGAGUUCAAUUCUCUUGAGUAGAGAGAAAAAUUCUCGAAAUUCGCACUGAAAGAUCAAAAUGUUGCUGUUGCAGAACGAUCAUCUGCAAUAUGAGCAACAAAAUUUGGAAUCACAGCACCAUAAUUCUCAACAACAGCAGAAUUUGCAGCAACAUCAGCAGAAUUUGCAGCAGUUUCAACGUCAAUUGCAGGUAGCUAGGGUUCCGUUUUCGCUCGAUCGCAAUGAUUCUUUCGUUUUUCAUUCCGAACAUCAGCAUCAAUCUCAGCCACUACCUCAGUUGCAGCAGCAGUUACAGUUGCCUUUAUCUUCGGCUUUGAAUGUGAAGAAUUCUCAGUCUCUUGAUCCUUGCCAAGUUGAUGACAAUCUGCUGCUGACUCUUGCCCACCAAAAGUACAAAGCUGGGAACUACAAGCAAGCACUUGAUCUCAGCAAUAUCUUGUUUGAGAGAAAUCCUCAUCGUACAGAUAAUCUUUUGCUAUCGGGUGCAAUUUACUAUCAGCUGCAUGACUUCGAUACUUGCAUUUCAAAGAAUGAAGAAGCUCUCCGAAUUGAUCCUCAUUUUGCUGAAUGUUAUGGCAACAUGGCAAAUGCGUGGAAGGAGAAAGGGAAUAUAGAUCUAGCUAUCCGCUAUUACUUGGUUGCCAUUGAGCUUCGACCCAAUUUUGCCGAUGCGUGGUCCAAUUUGGCCAAUGCGUACAUGCGGAAAGGAAGGGUUAACGAGGCAGCUCAAUGCUGCCGACAAGCUCUUGCAUUGAAUCCUAAUCUGGUUGAUGCUCGUUGUACACUGGGUAAUCUGUUGAAAGCCCAAGGCCAGGUCCAGGAGGCAUACAGUUGCUAUGUCGAGGCUCUCCAUGUUCAGCCUACUCUUCCUGUUGCUUGGUCUAAUCUUGCUGGGUUAUUUAUGGAGACGAGAGAUUAUAAGAAUGCUCUUCAGUGCUACAAGGAAGCUCUUAAACUCAAGCCUACAUGUGUAGAUGCCUAUCUAAACUUAGGAAAUGUUUACAAGGCUCUAGGGAUGCCUCAAGAAGCUGUGUUAUGUUAUCAACGUGCGCUGCAGGUCAGACCAGACUAUGCCAUAGCUUAUGGUAAUCUUGCCAGUAUAUAUUAUGAACAAGGGCAGAUGGAUAUGGCAAUUCUACAUUAUAAAAGAGCCAUUGAACGUGAUCCUGGUUUCUUGGAAGCUUACAAUAAUUUGGGUAAUGCACUAAAAGAUGCUAACCAAACUGAGGAAGCCAUUAAGCACUAUCGUCAAUGUCUUUCUCUGCAACCUAACCAUCCACAAGCACUUACUAAUCUUGGCAAUAUAUAUAUGGAAUGGAAUAUGAUUGGUACUGCUGCACAGUAUUAUAAGGCUACACUGAAUGUUACAACAGGAUUAUCUGCACCAUACAAUAACCUUGCAAUAAUAUACAAGCAGCAGGGUAACCUUGUGGAUGCUCUAACUUGUUACACAGAGGUCCUCCGGAUCGAUCCAUUGGCAGCUGAUGCACUCCUUAACAGGGGAAAUACAUAUAAGGAAGUUGGAAGAGUUAAUGAAGCUAUCCAGGACUACAUGAGUGCUAUUAAUGUCCGCCCUAAUAUGUCUGAAGCUCAUGCUAAUCUGGCUUCAGCUUAUAAGGACAGUGGUCAUGUUGAAGCAGCUAUAAAAAGCUACAAGCAUGCGUUGAUGUUGCGUCCUGACUUCCCAGAGGCAACAUGUAAUCUGCUUCAUACUUUACAGUGCGUAUGUGACUGGGAAGAGAGAGAGAGCAGGCUAGCUGAAGUGGAACACAUACUGAGGCGGCAAAUUCAGAUGUCUACUGUUCCAAGCGUGCAACCCUUCCAUGCCUUCGCCUACCCUCUGGAUCCAAUGCUUGCACUUGAAAUAAGUCGUAAAUAUGCGGAGCAUUGUUCUCUGGUUGCUUCUCGAUAUUCACUUCCUCCCUUCAGUUAUCCUGCUCCAUUGCCUGUAAAGGCUGUUGACGGGAGCAGGCGAUUGAGGGUUGGAUAUGUUAGCAGUGAUUUUGGCAACCAUCCCUUAUCACAUCUUAUGGGUUCGGUUUUUGGGAUGCACAACAGAGAAAAUGUUGAGGUCUUUUGUUAUGCCUUGAGUCCAAGUGAUGGUUCAGAGUGGAGGCUGCGUACUCAGACAGAAGCUGAGCAUUUUGUUGAUGUUUCUUCCAUGUCAUCUGAUGCGAUAGCUAAAUUAAUUAAUGCAGAUAAAAUUCAGAUCCUUGUAAACCUUAAUGGUUACACGAAGGGUGCAAGAAAUGAAAUAUUUGCUAUGCAACCUGCUCCGGUACAAGUCUCAUACAUGGGGUUUCCUGGAACCAUGGGUGCUACUUACAUACAGUAUCUGGUGACCGAUGAGUUUGUUUCUCCGAGUUAUUUGUCACACAUUUAUGCCGAAAAGCUAGUUCAUGUUCCCAACUGUUACUUUGUUAAUGAUUACAAACAGAAAAAUUGUGAUGUAUUGGAUCCGAAUUCGCAACCUAAGCGGUCAGAUUAUGGGCUACCUGAGGACAAAUUCAUCUUUGGAUGCUUUAAUCAGCUGUACAAAAUAGAUCCUGACAUUUUUGACACUUGGUGCAACAUUCUCAAGCGCGUUCCAAACAGUGCGCUCUGGCUUCUGAGGUUUCCAGCUGCAGGCGAGAGUAGACUGCGUGCAUAUGCUGAUGCAAGGGGUGUGCAACAGGAUCAAAUAAUUUUUACUGAUGUUGCCAUGAAGGGCGAACAUAUUAAACGCAGUGCUUUGGCUGAUCUCUGUCUUGACACGCCAUUAUGCAACGGGCACACAACUGGCACAGAUGUUCUCUGGGCUGGUUUGCCGAUGUUGACACUUCCCCUGGAGAAGAUGGCUACCAGGGUUGCUGGUUCACUAUGUUUGGCGACUGGUGUUGGAGAGGAGAUGGUGGCUAACAGUCUGAGAGAUUAUGAAGAGAAGGCAGUGUCUUUGGCGUUAAACAGACCGAAGCUUCGGGAGCUUACCAAUAGACUGAAGGCUGCCCGCUUGACUUGUCCUCUCUUUGACACUGCUCGCUGGGUGAGAAACCUUGAGCGAGCCUUCUUCAAGAUGUGGAAUCUAUACUGCGUUGGCCAGCAUCCUCAGCCAUUUAAAGUGACUGAGAAUGAUCUAGAAUGCCCAUAUGACAGAUAGGAGGAAAGAAAAUGCAAGACUACAACAUUGUAGAUAACCUGAAGACUAUAAGUUAAAAGUUUUGAGAGGUAGAAUGACUUGUUAUGGAGAUAAUUAUUGUGUUAUAGGUAUUUAUAUGCCGGAGCUGCCAGGCCUUGAAAUUCAGAACAAUUAUGGUGUUGUGACAUUCAAUGAAGAGUAACGCUGCUGCUGAUCCAACAAGGUGGUCCAAGCAGACAAUUCUGACAUAUUGUUUGUUGAACGGCGAUUUCAGCAACGAUGUUGAGUUGGGUUCUGAUAAGAAAUAAGUUAAUAUUCCCUCUAGCCCAAAAUCUUUGCUUCACUUUCUUUUGACAUGCAUUAUAGUGAUGGUUGAAAGUAGAGAGAAUAAAUAUGGGGCGGUGGGUUUGGGCCCAAACUUUGAGGAUUAGUGUAUCUUAUAGAGCAAUAAUUUUGGGCCUGACUAAAUAGGCAAAGAUUUUGGGAUGGAGGGUGUAUAUGCGAAUUUCGACAACCUUUUUGAUCUAAGCUGAGAUUUGUGGUGACAGCCCCUCAAUGCUGCAGAAACAGUUGGAUGAACACUGAUCAUGACUUAACUUAUUAUUUUCCUAGGAUUCGGUUGCUCUUACAGGGAAGUUGUUGGUUUAAAUGGAUGGUCAAAUAAGGGAGAUUGGGAUUAGGUGCCUUAAAGUGAUUUUGUGUAAUGAACGGAGUAAGGGAAAGAGGGUGAAGAAAGAUACUCGGGUGCUUGUGGUGUUCUAUAAUGGCAUGGAAGGGGAAUAUCCUACUUAUAUGAGGUUGGCUAAGAGCCUAAGACCAUUAUGACCAAGAAAAAGGAGAAGAUCAACCUGAUCACUGAAAUUUUUUAGCUGUUUCUACCCCCUCCCUGCUUCCCUUUUCUUUUGCCUCAGCUGUAAAUCUGUAAUGACGAUCUGGAGGCGUCCUUGCUAGCUGAAGGAGCUAGAGCAACCAUUGUGACGCGGGUGUCCGUGAAGAUGCCAUGCCAAGGAAAAGGUAAGCAUUACGCAAUUGUCAACAAGAAAGGUAAAGGAAAAUUAAUUAACAGGUCAAUGAAAUCUUUAAACUUAAUAAGAUGGGGUGCUGAUAAAGGAUCAUAAUCAGAUAAAAACUCAAAAACAACCAGAGCAAUUUCUUGCAAAAAAGUUGACAAUAAAAGGAGAGAUGGAGGGUGGGAAUGGUAAGUGAAAAGCCAGAAUCUGACCCCAGAAAUUGGACUUUUUCCUGUAUAUAGUGCUUCCACAUUGAAGGCAAAAUUCUCGAUACUUGGAUGUGCAACAUGCACAUUGUAUGUCACUCUGUAGGCAUGCGUCAGCAUGGGGAUAUUGCUGCUACUUCAUUUCAGCAAUAGUUCAUGUCUUGCAUCUGCCAGGAUCGCUCGCUGUAAAUCGAGCUGUUCGGUUGAUGCAAAUCGAACAACCGAGCCAGUAUGACUAAUAAUAGCGACCGACCUUAAAUUGUCUGACAUCAGAGUUACCGAACAAGUCGGACUUGAACCAUAUGACAGUAUCCUGAAGCAGUAUAGGAGUAUUAUCCAUUUGUGAGGAAAACAACUUAAACUAGUACAUGCCGAUCCCGGUCUACGCUUACCUGCAGGCUACAUGCUUCGUUUUCAUUUCUGUAUCUCUAGCCCUAUACUAACCCGAAUGCGCUCAUUGAUUGACCCCGGUAAUUUUAAGAAAAGAGAGAUUUACCUUCGAACUAUUGAUACUAUUCGCAAUUUGUGGACUCAAAAUUUUGAACUCAACGUCAUCAACAUGCAGACUGAAUGGUACAAUUGUUGCCUGAUUAAUCUGAGAAAUAAUUGAUUGCCUUAAUUUUCAAA